rnacentral:rRNA from 1 species
CCGAAGAUUUCCGGGGCUAAAACUUACUACCGAAGCUACGGCAUCAGUAAUGAUGGGUAGGGGAGCUUCCCAUACGGGUUGAAGCAUGACCGUAAGGACAUGGGGACAGUAUGGGAGUGAGAAUGUUGGCAUGAGUAGCGAGAUGUGGGUGAGAAUCCCACAGGCCGUAAACCCAAGGUUUCCAGGGGAAGGUUCGUCCGCCCUG